GGGACGUAAAUACGUGAGGGGCGGAGCCUUGAGGGGUUGUCAAUAAUCGGAAGUUUUGCGGCUGUUUCUACGAAUUCUGUAGUCUUUUCUUCCUAAAGGAAGAUUUCUGCAGAGAAGCGCUCCUUUGGACAUUUUGCUCUCAUUCUGUGCAGUUAACUGCUUAGAUUUAAAGGGCAGGAAUCCCAUGUCAUUCCUGAUGAAGGAUCUUCUCUUUUCUGCAUACCCAACUUGAAUGAAAGCCACCUGUUCUGACCAUGAACAAAAUAUGCUUUCCUGUAACUUCCCAAGAAUAACCUGUUUUCUUCAGAGACUGCUGUGGCUGGCCCUGGCCAUGGAAUCAAAAGGUGUGAAGUGGUAUCUCAUAGUGAUUUCGAUUUGCAUUUCCACAGAGAGCCUUCUUCAGUUUUCUCAGGCCCUGCCCCCACCUGCUGACCUGGCACACAUCUUGUUCAAGUGAAGAGGUCCUUAGAGAGCCAUGUUCCUCAGGUUUCUGGUCUAUUUAUAAUGAGGGGCCAAAGACUGUUACAGAUGGUGCCCCCCGGACAGGGGUGCUGGUGAGGAUGAAUGCCACAGGCGAAACACAAACAACAUAUCCAUGGAAGUGGAGACUGAUAAGAAAUAUAAGUGAAGCAGCCCCCGGGAUUCUGCUUUCGGGAGUUCAGUGUUUUCGGAUAUUCGGGGAUUCCGGGAGCAGCCAUUUCUGCCCCCACCAUGCCAAUCUUCCGGAAGGCUGCUGAGGGCCUCUGAAGGACAUGGAGAGGCUUCCAGCAGCCAACCUCAGAGAAGAAAAGUUCGCAGGCUUUGCAAGUAGCCAAGCAACUGAAACUGCUCCCAGCUUUGCUGCUGUUACAGCCUGGAAGGGAAGGCAAAGACCCAGAGGCAGGAACCUCGCUGAACUGCGUGAGUGUGGCCGUUUGUCUGGUCAGUUGGCUGCUGCAGCUACUGCUUUGAGUGUCAAUUGUCUGGUGCUGUGCUGGGGCAUCUUGGCAGCUCUGGGGAGUAUCUCCUGUUGCGUCUUCUGCUGUCUUCAUGAGUUGGAUCCCAGCCUAUUGUCUGGCUGCCAUGUGCUCUGUGUCUGCAGUGGCGGGAAGAUGCCAUCUUGGGAGCGUUUGUGUUCAGGACUUUAAAAUACUGGACACUACUUUAGAUGAGGUAAGCGGCCAUUUGUGGCCUCAGUGACUCUUUUUUUCCUUGUUUGUUAAAUAAAUCCCAUUAUUGUUCUCUGAACCUAAGAGGUCUUGCAAUUGUGUGUGACCGGUAAACUAUUUAGGCACUGUCCUUGGCCA